GACGAACGCUGGCGGCGUGCUUAACACAUGCAAGUCGAGCGGAGCGGCGAACGGGUGAGUAACGCGUGAGUAACUGCCCCCCUCUCUGGGAUAACAGUUGGAACCGGCUGCUAAUACCGGAUAGUGGGGGAUGACUCGCGUCCUAUCAGCUUGUUGGUGGGGUAGUGGCCUACCAAGGCGACGACGGGUAGCCGGCCUGAGAGGGCGACCGGCCACAUUGGGCUGAGAUACGGCCCAAACUCCUACGGGAGGCAGCAGUGGGGAAUAUUGCACAAUGGGGGAAACCCUGAUGCAGCAACGCGCGUGCGGGAUGACGGCCUUCGGGUUGUAAACCUCUUUCGCUAUCGAACGGGUAGGUGGAGAAGAAGCGCCGGCUAACUACGUGCCAGCCGCCGCGGUAAUUC
rnacentral:rRNA from 1 species